rnacentral:rRNA from 1 species
UACGUAGGGGGCAAGCGUUGUCCGGAUUUAUUGGGCGUAAAGAGCGUGUAGGCGGCCUGACAGGUCUGCUGUGAAAACUCGAGGCUCAACCUCGAGAUGUCGGCGGAAACCGUCUGGCUAGAGUCCGGAAGAGGAGAGUGGAAUUCCUGGUGUAGCGGUGAAAUGCGCAGAUAAUCAGGAGGAACACCGGUGGCGAAGGCGGGUCUCUGGGCCGUAACUGACGCUGAGGAGCGAAAGCGUGGGGAGCGAACAGG